UCGUACACGUUUUGCUCGCAAUGAGCCUUUUGUAAGAGCUAUGUCGUCUUUUAAUAGUACUUCUGAUCUGUUCGAUUUCAACAUAUCCUAUCCUGUCUACCGAUCCCGUCUUCGCUCCUUUUCCGUACCAUAAACUCCUUCCAACUCCUUCGUGAAUAAUUGUACACUAUAGUCAGUAUAGUCAGUCAGUUGGCCGAUCUCGUAGUACAGUCGUCAACUCGUACGACUUAACAACAUGCCCGUCAUGGGUUCAAUCCCCAAAUAGACCGCGCCGCCAUACGUAGGACUGACUAUCCUGCUAUGGGGGGGGGAAUCAAUUAGUCACUGAAAGCCAAGCCCACAAGUGGGUACAGGCAGGCCUUGACCAACAUCGGUUGUUGAGCCAAAGAAGAAGAAGAUAGUCAGUAAGCACUAUUGCUGUAACCCAACGUGGCCGAGCAAUUAAUAAAAUAAAAAAAAUAAAAAAAAAAUACGGGGGAAGCGGGGUUUGAAGUCUUUCGUUCGUCACACACACACAUGCAUUUACCAGCGGAUAUCGCUGGACCGAGUCUACCCAUCUCUCUCGAUCCACCAUGAUUUUUCUGCUAACGCGCUCAUUCGGGUGUUAGGCAUCCUCAGUCUGUUCAGAACUUUCCCUGUGGAAGGAUGUGUUGGAGUGAGGUGCGAUUUCUUGUGCGACGUACUUUGCUCAUUUACGUUUUGUGCCGUGUUGCUUCUUCCUCAGUUAUGGAAUGAUUUAUCCUAGCAAAUUGUUGAGUUACAGGUGUGUGCGCUAUUUAUCAACGACUGCAUGCUGGCCUCGUCAACAAUCUUCAAAGUGAGCGACGGAAAGAAAACGUUUUCCAGUUUUAAAAUAUUAAGAUAAGUUUUGAUCUAAUCCUCUGCGCUAUACUCUCCAUAGUAAUACAUACUACUUACAUUCAUUAUUGCUUCAUUCAGCCCCCGGUGAGGACGUCAUUACUUAACAGAAGCCGGUUCAACACGCGCAGCUCCUGUUCAUGACGUCAUCACUAAAAUGAAGCCAGCUGGACACGCGCAGCACGGAUGGUACCACGAGCGCAGUAGGAGGAAGGAAGAACGAGAGGAGGAAGAACGGUAAAUUUGGAAGGGGCUAAGUGUUCUGCCGUCUACACAGCGGGAGUAUGUUAAAACACAUGUGGGAAGGCAAUCCGAAAAAGGGGGUGGAGCAAACACAUUGGUAUGCGUGAGCGGCUGAAGAAACCAGAACGUUUAGAUGUGUGCGUGACGGAUGGUUCGAGCGCCUGUGGCGAAGAGCGCCUGUGGCCUGUGUGCAGGCGACAAGCCUGCAAACGAGAGCUUUGUGGAGAGCUUUGUAGGGAGAUCAGAUUACACAGGCCGCCGUCGGUUUUUGCGUCCUUGGGAACAUCCCAAGAAUGUGUUUUAGCAUACUCCCGCUGUGUAGACGGCAGAACGCUUUCCCCCUUCCAAAUUUACCGUUCUUCCUUCCUCCUACUGCGCUCGUGGUACCAUCCGUGCUGCGCGUGUUCAGCUGGCUUCAGUUUCGUGAUGACGUCAUGAACAGAAGCUGCGCUUGUUGAACCGGCUUCUGUUAAGUAAUGACGUCCUCACCGGGGGCUGAAUGAAGCAAUAAUGAAUGUAAGUUAUAUGUAUUACUAUGGAGAGUUUAGCGCAGAGGAUUAGAUCAACACUUACCUUAAUAUUUUAAAACUGGAAAAUGUUUUCUUUCCGUCGCUCACUUUGAAGAUUUUUGACGAGGCUAGCAAGUAGUCGUUGAUAAAUAGCGCACACACCUGUAACUUUUUAGACGCCAAAGGUUAAUUGAAUGUACCUGCACAAGCACACAGUAAGAAACUUACCUCAACAAUUUGCUAGGAUAAAUCAUUCCAUAACUGAGGAAGAAGCAACACGGCACAAAACGUAAAUGAGCAAAGUACGUCGCACAAGAAAUCGCACCUCACUCCAACACAUCCUUCCACAGGGAAAGUUCUGGACAGACUGAGGAUGCCUAACACCCGAAUGAGCGCGAUAGCAGAAAAAUCAUGGUGGAUCGAGAGAGAUGGGUAGACUCGGUCCAGCGAUAUCCGCUGGUAAAUGCAUGUGUGUGUGACGAACGAAAGACUUCCAACCCUGCUUCCCCCGUAUUUCAUCCAUAAUUUUUCGUCACACGCACACACCUCUGCACGGGCGGCGGUUUGCCGUCCAAAAUCUAGAGAGAGAAGACAGGGCCUCUCGCUUUGGCACACAGCAAAAUCUCUCAACAACUUCGGCUCUGCUACUUGGGUUGUGCGCUCGGACGAGCAGGUGUUGCGAGCAGCCGGUCGAGCAGGGCUCCCGGCAGGGCACGGUACGGCUGGCGCGCGGCCGAGUAUUUUAGUGUGUAUUGUGCUUGUGAGUUUAUAUUUAUUAUGUGUACUGUUAUAUCAGUGUUUGAAUAAAGUACCUGAUGCAAGCCAAAGACACAACAUCAUAAA